rnacentral:rRNA from 1 species
UGACAACUCUAGAGAUAGAGCCUUCCCCUUCGGGGGACAAAGUGACAGGUGGUGCAUGGUUGUCGUCAGCUCGUGUCGUGAGAUGUUGGGUUAAGUCCCGCAACGAGCGCAACCCUUAAGCUUAGUUGCCAUCAUUAAGUUGGGCACUCUAAGUUGACUGCCGGUGACAAACCGGAGGAAGGUGGGGAUGACGUCAAAUCAUCAUGCCCCUUAUGAUUUGGGCUACACACGUGCUACAAUGGACAAUACAAAGGGCAGCGAAACCGCGAGGUCAAGCAAAUCCCAUAAAGUUGUUCUCAGUUCGGAUUGUAGUCUGCAACUCGACUACAUGAAGCUGGAAUCGCUAGUAAUCGUAGAUCAGCAUGCUACGGUGAAUACGUUCCCGGGUCUUGUACACACCGCCCGUCACACCACGAGAGUUUGUAACACCCGAAGCCGGUGGAGUAACCUUUUAGGAGCUAGCCGUCGAAGGUGGGACAAAUGAUUGGGGUGAAGUCGUAACAAGGUAGCCGUAUCGGAAGGUGCGGCUGGAUCACCUCCUUUCUAAGGA